AGUGAACGCUGGCGGUAGGCCUAACACAUGCAAGUCGAACGGCAGCACAGUAAGAGCUUGCUCUUACGGGUGGCGAGUGGCGGACAGGUGAGGAAUACAUCGGAAUCUACUUUUUCGUGGGGGAUAACGUAGGGAAACUUACGCUAAUACCGCAUACGACCUACGGGUGAAAGCAGGGGAUCUUCAGACCUUGCGCGAUUGAAUGAGCCGAUGUCGGAUUAGCUAGUUGGCGGGGUAAAGGCCCACCAAGGCGACGAUCCGUAGCUGGUCUGAGAGGAUGAUCAGCCACACUGGAACUGAGACACGGUCCAGACUCCUACGGGAGGCAGCAGUGGGGAAUAUUGGACAAUGGGCGCAAGCCUGAUCCAGCCAUACCGCGUGGGUGAAGAAGGCCUUCGGGUUGUAAAGCCCUUUUGUUGGGAAAGAAAAGCAGCAGGUUAAUACCCCGCUGUUCUGACGGUACCCAAAGAAUAAGCACCGGCUAACUUCGUG
rnacentral:rRNA from 1 species